GUGGGUAGGCAUUUCAGACCACAGCUUUGGCUGACCUCCUGGUGAGCUGUCAGAAUCAAUAGGGAUUCGAACAAGAAAGACUUCCAGAUGCUUCUAGCAGCAAAACCAAACCAGGAAUGAAAGAAAGCUCAGGAGAGGUUGUCCAGCUGCUCUAAGUGCACCCCAGAUUAAGAACUGUUAAUUGUGGGGCUAGGUGUGUGCCAACUUGAAGAGCUAGCAUCAGAGAGGAGGGAGCUUCAAAUAAGAAAAUGCCUCCAUAAGAUGGAGCUGCGGUCACACCUGUGGGGAAUCUUCUAAGUUAGCGGUUGAUGUGGGAGGGCCCGAUGCAUUGUGGGUGGUGCCAUCUUGGGCCUGGUGAUCCUGAAUUUUAUAUGAAAGCCUGCUAAGCAGGAAAAAGGGAACUCCUCCCUGGUCUCUGCAUCAGCUCCUGCCUUCAGGUUCCUGCACUGUUUGAGUUCCUGUCCUGACUUCCUUCCAUGAUGAAUAGCGAUGUGGAAAUCUAGGGCUGAAGGAUCGGCUGUGGUUAACAAGACACCAGAACCCCUAAAGAGAAACCCUUGCUUUACUGGGAUACUUAAUGCUGGUUAGCUGGAAUGAGCAAUGAUUAAGAGACCAGCCUCAGUGAGGUGAAAUCUUCUGGGAAGUGUUUCCUGAGAGCACACAGAAGCUAUGUUCCUGAGGUGGUCACAGUUGUCCCUUGCACUUGUGGCUGAACUUGGUGAUGUGCGAGUCAUCCAGGUGGUACUGGUGUUGACGGUAUCAAGGGGUCAUGGAGAGCAGCUGAGGCUUGGCAACUUCGUGUCAGGGCUGGAGUCCCUGCAGAGACCCCAGGUGAAAGUGCAUCCCAGUUGCAGCACAAGACCCUAGUAUUUGGAAGAUGCCAGGACCAUGGGAUAACCUCCAAGAACAGCAGCAGCAGUGGAGUGGAGUCAGCUGGAGCCCAGAGGACAAGCUGUGUGUGCUACAGCGAGUGGAGAUGGAGAGGUGACCCAAGCCCUAUGGAGGAGCCCAGAACACUAUGCAAUGUGACCAGCUCCCUCAAGCUCCUGAGGCUGUAACAUCAUUGCUAUGAUGAACUGUAACCUGAAACUGUCUUGAACUAUGGAGAUGAAUAAAACCUAAAAGGCCUUCCUUCUCAUAUGUUGCAAACAAGAGACCAGGAGAUAAGAAGCCAGCAUGCUGAAAACAAAAGCAAGGCAAUUUGAUGAAGAUGAAGGACAACACUGGGACUAUGCAUUCUUUCCCCCUUACUCAGAUGAUCAGUUUUAUCAACCACUCAUAGCAGCAACAGCUAUGCUAUGCUGCGAUUAAUGUGUACACAUAUAAGAUGCACAGAUACAGAUGUACACAACUGAACACAUGGACACAAAUGCAUGAAGGAAUGUCACACAUAACCAACAUAGAUAGAAUAGAGCAGGAACUUGUUUAGACGGCCUCUUCCGAGGAAGGAGUUAUUCUGAAGAAACACUGCAAAGGAACUCAGUUCUUCUUUAGGGGUGCUUGUGGUACUUUCUUUGAAUGAGUCCCCCACCCAAGCAAAAUGUGUCUUAACUACA